rnacentral:rRNA from 1 species
UACGAAGGGGCGAGCGUUGUUCGGAUUUACUGGGCGUAAAGGGCGCGCAGGCGGCAGACCAAGUCAGGCGUGAAAGCCCCGGGCUUAACCUGGGAGGUGCGUCUGGGACUGGUGAUGCUAGAGUUCGGGAGAGGAGAGUGGAAGUCCAGUGUGAGAGGUGAAUUCGUAGAUAUGGAAGAACACCGGUGGCGAAGGCGGCUCUCUGGACCG